UGAGGCCUCCGGACUGGCCCAGGGAGGUGGGCAACUACCACCCAGGUGCCGGAAAGUUGUACGAACUCGGUCGUUUAGAGGAAGUAAAAGUCGUAACAAGGUCUCCGUUGGUGAACCAGCGGAGGGAUCAUUA
rnacentral:rRNA from 1 species